rnacentral:rRNA from 1 species
GAUGAACGCUGGCGGCGUGCCUAAUACAUGCAAGUCGAGCGAACAGAUAAGGAGCUUGCUCCUUUGACGUUAGCGGCGGACGGGUGAGUAACACGUGGGUAACCUACCUAUAAGACUGGGAUAACUUCGGGAAACCGGAGCUAAUACCGGAUAACAUUUGGAACCGCAUGGUUCUAAAGUGAAAGAUGGUUUUGCUAUCACUUAUAGAUGGACCCGCGCCGUAUUAGCUAGUUGGUAAGGUAACGGCUUACCAAGGCGACGAUACGUAGCCGACCUGAGAGGGUGGUCGGCCACCCUGGAACUGAGACACGGUCCAGACUCCUACGGGAGGCAGCAGUAGGGAAUCUUCCGCAAUGGGCGAAAGCCUGACGGAGCACCGCCGCGUGAGUGAUGAAGGGUUUCGGCUCGUAAAACUCUGUUAUUAGGGAAGAACAAACGUGUAAGUAACUGUGCACGUCUUGACGGUACCUAAUCAGAAAGCCACGGCUAACUACGUG